UAGGGAAUCUUCGGCAAUGGGGGCAACCCUGACCGAGCAACGCCGCGUGAGUGAAGAAGGUUUUCGGAUCGUAAAGCUCUGUUGUAAGUCAAGAACGAGUGUGAGAGUGGAAAGUUCACACUGUGACGGUAGCUUACCAGAAAGGGACGGCUAACUACGUGCCAGCAGCCGCGGUAAUACGUAGGUCCCGAGCGUUGUCCGGAUUUAUUGGGCGUAAAGCGAGCGCAGGCGGUUUGAUAAGUCUGAAGUUAAAGGCUGUGGCUCAACCAUAGUUCGCUUUGGAAACUGUCAAACUUGAGUGCAGAAGGGGAGAGUGGAAUUCCAUGUGUAGCGGUGAAAUGCGUAGAUAUAUGGAGGAACACCGGUGGCGAAAGCGGCUCUCUGGUCUGUAACUGACGCUGAGGCUCGAAAGCGUGGGGAGCGAACAGGAUUAGAUACCCUGGUAGUCCACGCCGUAAACGAUGAGUGCUAGGUGUUGGAUCCUUUCCGGGAUUCAGUGCCGCAGCUAACGCAUUAAGCACUCCGCCUGGGGAGUACGACCGCAAGGU
rnacentral:rRNA from 1 species